rnacentral:rRNA from 1 species
GACGAACGCUGGCGGCGUGCCUAACACAUGCAAGUCGAACGGAAAGGCCCUGCUUUUGUGGGGUGCUCGAGUGGCGAACGGGCGAGUAACACGUGAGUAACCUGCCCUUGACUUUGGGAUAACUUCAGGAAACUGGGGCUAAUACCGGAUAGGAGCUCCUGCUGCAUGGUGGGGGUUGGAAAGUUUCGGCGGUUGGGGAUGGACUCGCGGCUUAUCAGCUUGUUGGUGGGGUAGUGGCUUACCAAGGCUUUGACGGGUAGCCGGCCUGAGAGGGUGACCGGCCACAUUGGGACUGAGAUACGGCCCAGACUCCUACGGGAGGCAGCAGUGGGGAAUAUUGCACAAUGGGCGGAAGCCUGAUGCAGCAACGCCGCGUGCGGGAUGACGGCCUUCGGGUUGUAAACCGCUUUCGCCUGUGACGAAGCGUGAGUGACGGUAAUGGGUAAAGAAGCACCGGCUAACUACGUG